UUUAAUUUUGUUAAGCAAAAAAAAUGAAAUUAGUAAAUGAGAUAAUGGGAAAUUGCCCUGUGUAAACAAAAACUGUUCAUUCUAUAUCUUUCACUUCUUUUAAAGUAGAAAAUAUUGAAAAUUAAAAAGUAAAAUGGAAAUUCACACGAAUGCUAGACAGAUUAGAUAUCAGGGUAUCAAACUUUAACCAUUCGAACAUUCAAAAUCAGAGACAACACCAAGACCAAAAUUAAGAAGACAAGACAUUCAUACCAAUAUGCAAGAAUAAAACAUUAUCAUUUGCCUAUGCGUUGGAAGUGUAGUUAUAUUAGGACAUGACAAGAUAUAUCCACAAUAGUGUGUUUCCAAUAUUCUUUUGUAAAUAAAGUAGGAAGAUUGCCUUCCGAAUGUAACGCAGUCUCGAAAUGUUCAUUUCUAAUUGUAUUGAACCGUUAUUCCGGUAAUAUAUAUAAGAAUACAACGUACAUACAUGCAUCUCUUGUUCUAAAGUAAAGAUUUGUUACUUCUCAAAAACACUUAAUAAGACACAAGUAUGUCAUUUGUUUUACAGGAAUGAACCUGAAACACGAAAGUCCGGGUAUGUAUUAAAGUUAUAAUUCUUUUCAGUGCUUAAAAAUUAUAAAGAUUGUUUUAUUCACAUACAAAACUAAAUAGCUCUGUUGUGAUCUUAUUAUUCAGUCUAUGUGUAAUUUUUUAUAUUGAUGAAAAUC
rnacentral:lncRNA from 1 species